GACGAACGCUGGCGGCGUGCCUAAUACAUGCAAGUAGAACGCUGAAGAGAGGAGCUUACUCUUCUUGGAUGAGUUGCGAACGGGUGAGUAACGCGUAGGUAACCUGCCUUGUAGCGGGGGAUAACUAUUGGAAACGAUAGCUAAUACCGCAUAACAAUGGAUGACACAUGUCAUUUAUUUGAAAGGGGCUAUUGCUCCACUACAAGAUGGACCUGCGUUGUAUUAGCUAGUAGGUGAGGUAAUGGCUCACCUAGGCGACGAUACAUAGCCGACCUGAGAGGGUGAUCGGCCACACUGGGACGGAGACACGGCCCAGACUCCUACGGGAGGCAGCAGUAGGGAAUCUUCGGCAAUGGGGGCAACACUGACCGAGAAACGCCGCGUGAGGGAAGAAGGUUGUCGGAUCGUAAAGCUCGGUUGUAAGUCAAGAACGGGUGUGAGAGUGGAAAGUUCACACUGUGACGGUAGCUGACCAGAAAGGGACGGCUAACUACGUG
rnacentral:rRNA from 1 species